UACGUAGGGGGCUAGCGUUGUCCGGAAUCAUUGGGCGUAAAGAGCUCGUAGGCGGUUCGGCAAGUCGGGUGUGAAACCCCCAGGCUCAACCUGGGGACGCCACCCGAUACUGCUGUGACUUGAGUCCGGUAGGGGAGCGUGGAAUUCCUGGUGUAGCGGUGAAAUGCGCAGAUAUCAGGAGGAACACCAGCGGCGAAGGCGGCGCUCUGGGCCGGAACUGACGCUGAGGAGCGAAAGCGUGGGUAGCAAACAGG
rnacentral:rRNA from 1 species